rnacentral:rRNA from 1 species
AGUGGAUGGGGAGCAACCUAGUUGUGCGUGUGUAAAGGUAGUGCCAAGAAAAGCGAUGAUCAUGUUGAAAAUCAAUUCCCGGUACCCGAAACCGACACAGGUGGGCAAGUAGAGAAUACUAAGGGGCGCGAGGUAACUCUCUCCAAGGAACUCGGCAAAAUGACCCCGUAACUUAGGGAGAAGGGGUGCCACCGAGAGGUGGUCGCAGUGAAGAGGCCCAGGCGACUGUUUAGCAAAAACAUAGGUCUCUGCAAACUCGAAAGAGGAGGUAUAGGGGCUGACGCCUGCCCAGUGCCGGAAGGUUAAAGAAGUUGGUCAGUCUUAGGAUGAAGCUAGCGACUGAAGCCCCGGUGAACGGCGGCCGUAACUAUAACGGUCCUAAGGUAGCGAAAUUCCUUGUCGGGUAAGUUCCGACCCGCACGAAAGGCGUAACGAUCUGGGCGCUGUCUCGGAGAGAGGCUCGGCGAAAUAGGAUUGUCUGUGAAGAUACGGACUACCUGCAUUUGGACAGAAAGACCCUAUGAAGCUUUACUAUAGCUUGGAAUUGUGUUCGGGCUUCCUGUGCGCAGGAUAGGUGGGAGGCGUAGAAGGUAUCCUUGUGGGGAUACUGGAGCCAACGGUGAGAUACCACUCUCAGGAGGCUAGAAUUCUAACUUAAUUAAGGACAGUUUCAGGUGGGUAGUUUGACUGGGGCGGUCGCCUCCAAAAAGGUAACGGAGGCGUACAAAGGUUCCCUCAGACUGGUUGGAAAUCAGUCGAAGAGUGCAAAGGCAGAAGGGAGCUUGACUGCGAGAAGUACAGUUCGAGCAGGGUGGAAACACGGUCUUAGUGAUCCGACGGUGCUGUGUGGAAGGGCCGUCGCUCAACGGAUAAAAGUUACUCUAGGAUAACAGGCUGAUCUCCCCCAAGAGUUCACAUCGACGGGGAGGUUUGGCACCUCGAUGUCGGCUCAUCGCAACCUGGGGCGGAAGUACGUCCCAAGGGUUGGGCUGUUCGCCCAUUAAAGCGGUACGUGAGCUGGGUUCAGAACGUCGUGAGACAGUUCGGUCCAUAUCCGAUGUAGGCGUGAGAAUAUUGAGAGGAGCCUUCCUUAGUACGAGAGGACCGGGAAGGACGCACCGCUGGUGUACCUGUUAUGAUGCCAAUUGUAAACGCAGGGUAGCCAAGUGCGGAGAGGAUAACCGCUGAAAGCAUCUAAGUGGGAAGCCCACCUCAAGAUGAGUAUUCUGGUGUAAGGUCACGGGAAGACGACCCGUAAAUAGGCACGAGGUGGAAGUGCAGAGAUGUAUGAAGCCGAAGUGUACUAAUAGACCGUCGGCUUG